ACUCUCUGUAAUCGAUGCACAUUCUGAAAGAUCCGUCCUUCUUUUUGACAAAGAGCACCGGAGCUCCCCAUGGCGAGUAGCUAGGUCGGAUAAAUCCCUUGUCCAGAAGCUCACUGAGUUGGCUGGACAAUUCCUGCAUUUCAGCAGGUGCCAACCGAUAUGGUGAUUUAGCGAGAGGAGUUGCUCCUGGAACGAGGUCGAUUCGGAACUCAACCUGUCUCUCUGGGGGUACUCCUGGAAGAUCUUCGGGAAACACGUCCGGAAAUUCACACGCUACCGGAAUGUCUUGGAUGUUAGUUUCUUCUUUGGUCUUGUCCACUAUGUGAGCCAAGAACGCUAAGUUGUUCUUUCGCAGAUGUUUUUGUGCUUUGAUGCACGAGAUAAGACGAAGAUUCGUGCUAGGUUUGUCUCCGUAAAUUACUAGGGUUUCGUGAUUCGGGAGACGAAGGCGAACGGCCUUCUCGUGGCACAUAAUCUCAGCAUGGUGGGGGCUUAACCAAUCCAUGCCGAUAAUCACAUCGAAACUCCUAAUUGAUACUGGCAUUAGGUCUAUUCGAAAGACGUGCUGGUUGAGGGUUAGGGUACAUCCGAUGUAGAUCUCCCUAGUGGAUUCGGUUUUCCCAUUGGCCAUUUCCACCGUAUAGGUUUCAUUUAGCUUCUGGGGUUGUUGUUUUAAUAAAUGUUUAAACUUCUCGCUUACGAAACUUCGCUCCGCUCCGGUAUCAAAUAAGAUGCAUGCAUAAGUGUGGUUUAGGAGGAACGUACCGGUCACAACUGCGGGGUCUUGAACUGCAUCACUCUGACCCAUAGUCAGCAUUCUUCCUGCUCCUCUGUUUCCUGAGGUGUUGUUGUUAGGGGAAUCUCGACGGAAAUGUCCCGUCCUUCCACACCCAAAGCAGGUGUGGCUAGGCCCUGUGUUGUUGCCCGGGAUUGGNACCCAAAGCAGGUGUGGCUAGGCCCUGUGUUGUUGCCGCCGGUAUUGAUGUUGAUGUUAUUGCGGGGGUUGUUGUUGUUCUGGUUGUUUCUCUGACUCUGGUUCUGAGAUGGAUAAGUCCUGCAGAAUCUUGCAGUGUGUCGCCUUCGGUUGCAACUGGUGCAAUGGAACUCCUUACAUUCUCCAUGGUGAUGGAAACUACACUUAUUGCACUUGGGAGCAUUACCGGAAUAGGGUCUUGAAGCAUUUAAAACAGCUGAGGCUGGAGCAUGUGAUGUGACUGGAACUGGCGCAAUGACAGCGUUAACUGCCACCGUUUGCUGCUUUUUAGAGGUCUCGGGGCCCUGACGCCCCUUCCUCUUGUUGUUCCAUCCUUUCUUACCAUCACUCUCCUUCUUCUUCUCAGUCUCUACCGGUUUCUCGCCCUUUUUGUGGUUAUGAUCAUAUAGCCUCUUUGCCAAUCUCUUCGCACUGUCAAAAGUUUCAGGGUUCGCAGCUAUCACAUUCCCUUGAAUGGGGGAUGUCAGUCCCCAGAUGAAUCGUUCGAUCUUCUUUCCCUCUGAUGUGAUCAUACCCGGGCACAACAGAGAUAGUUCGCUGAAUCUCGAUAUGUAAGCAUCGAUGUUCCCAUUCUGCACCGUGAGAUUCCAUAGUUCCUGCUCCAUCUUCUGUAUUUCGCCUCGGGGGCAGUACUCAGCCGUCAACAUCUCUUUCAUCUCUGCCCAGGGAAUAGAGUUGGCGACAGGGAGUGUCAUAGCUUCCACAUGACCAUUCCACCAAGUGAGUGCUUGGUCCACAAAAGUGCAGGCCGCGAACUUCACUUUCAUCUGCUCGGGGCACUCGCAUAUCUCGAAUACCGACUCUACCUUCUCGAUCCAUCGCUUUAGGGCGAUCACUCCUCCAGUGCCGUUGAAAGUUCGGGGUUUAGCGUUCGCAAAAUCCUUGUAGGUGCACGUUUUAGUGAGUCCUUGGUUCGUCCCGUUGUUCGAACUUCCGGAUCCUUGCCCGUUACCUCCUCCGUUGUUCCCUCGGUGAAGUUGUGCCAUAGCCGCUGUGACUGCAGCAGACACGGCUGCCUGGAAAGCAGUGGAGUCAACUUCGGGCGGGGUUGGUUCGGGAUUUCCGCGAGUAGCUGGGCGAGGCAUCUUUCUGUCAUGAAACGGAAAGAUGUUGAGUGUACGUGGUUUCUGUGAGGUUGUGAUC
rnacentral:lncRNA from 1 species